CAGCAUAUUGCCUAAGCAGCAUAGUUAACAAUGGGUGAGAUAAACAGCUAAAAGCUAUAAUCAGUAAUUGCAAAAAGGAGAAAACUUUAGUACCUAGAUACUUAAUCAUCAACGGCUGUUUGCUGGUUUCAAUCUCUGUUUGUUUUGUUCUAUAUAUAUCUAUGUCCAUUAGAGAUAUGAUAUUUUUCAACCACUGGAUGGUAUUACCAAAAUUAGUUUCUAAAAGAGCUCUAUAUAAUUGGCUUAAGGAUUCCUGACAGCCUAACCAGGUGAUUAAAGAAGGUCAUCUCCUGCCUGGUGCAGAAACCUCAAGAUAUGUUGGGAGUCUCAAGAAGAGAGGCAUUCACCCAAAUCUAUAGGUAUUACAGGCAGAGUGUGAUGAAUCAUUGAGAACUAAAGCUUCCUUUUCCUGGAAGCCCUGUGAGCUGAAGCUGAACAAGUUGAUAUAAACUUAAGAGCGAUCACCACAAUAGCCUGUGUUUAGAGAAUCUCCAUGCCUGUUUCUGUUGCUGGCCCACAGUAGAUGUUCAGUAAAGAUGAGUCAAAGGGACUAAUGAAGGAAGAAUACUGCACAACAGACAUGUUGGUGAAAUUGGUGGAGGAGGUAGAACUGGGAGCUACCAAACGGUGGAAUCAGGAUCCCAAAAGACCUCGAGAGCCACGCCUGAAGCUAAUAUUACAAGCAUUACGAUUUUACAUCAAGUUGGGAAGUACCCAAAAGCUGAAUCCGAGUCCGUACAGAUUUUUCCAGAAGCCAGAGGACACCCCAGGGUGAGGAUCAUCUCCACCCGCUCUGUCUCAGGCACAGAAGGAAAAUGACGUGUCUCCGCGGGGUGCGAAGAGCAAGCUGCGCCGCUGGGAGCCCGCGGUCCCCUGCUCCAUCAGCCGGGCGCCUCUGGGUCAGUCAUUGUGGUGAAGCUGGGACCCGGCUUCCAGUGGGGCUACACUGCAUGGCCCCAGGCUAAUUCGGUACAGGUGCUGUGCCGCUGCGUUGGGGCCCCCUCCCUGCAGGCUCUGACGGGCCACCACCUCGUCCUCCCCAGGGCUUCUCCCAUGCCUUGGCGGAAUGGCUUUGUGCCCCAACAAUGUGUAAAUGCCGAUGCUAUUUAACCCUUUGAAACUCUAAUUUUAUAAACAUAAUUCAUCUUAUCAAUCAUGCUAUUAUACAAUGUUUAUAAUAGAUCUAUUUUCUCUAUCUUCAUUGAGCAUCAUAAAGAUAUGUACGUUUCUAUGGACAAGAAUACACAGGCCAAAACCACAUGAGCAUGUACUUUACUUUUCCUUUAUUUCUAAAUUUAAAAUUCUUUGUUUGGAAAAUUUUCAGAUACAUCAAGUUUACUCCCUAACUACCUCAGUUGAGACUUAAAGGUCUCAAGUCA
rnacentral:lncRNA from 1 species